GCAUGUGCACGCUCUGUUCAUGCAUCCACUCACACCUGUGCACCCUCCGUAGUUCUAUGGUCUGGGGGACACCUUGUCUUCCUCCUGUAGUUCUAUGUCUUUACAUGUACACCGUAGCGAAGUCUUAUGGAAUGUGCACCGCGUUUAACGCAAUAUAAUACAACUUUCAGCAACGGAUCUCUUGGCUCUCGCAUCGAUGAAGAACGCAGCGAAAUGCGAUAAGUAAUGUGAAUUGCAGAAUUCAGUGAAUCAUCGAAUCUUUGAACGCACCUUGCGCCCCUUGGCUAUUCCGAGGGGCAUGCCUGUUUGAGUAUCAUGAACACCUCAACUCUCAUGGUUUGCCAUGAUGAGCUUGGACUUUGGGGGUUUUGCUGGCCUGCGGUCAGCUCCUCUCAAACGGAUCAGCUUACCAGUAUUUGGUGGCAUCAUGGGUGUGAUAAUUAUCUACACUUGUGGUUGUCUGCUGAGUAACCUUUGGCGACAGGGGUUUGCUGGAGCUUAUAAAUGUCUCUCCCCAGCGAAGACAGCUUUUUGACCGUUCGAUCUCAAAUCAGGUAGGACUACCCGCUGA
rnacentral:rRNA from 1 species